rnacentral:rRNA from 1 species
GAUGAACGCUAGCUACAGGCUUAACACAUGCAAGUCGAGGGGUAACAAGAGAAAAGCUUGCUUUUCUUGUUGACGACCGGCGCACGGGUGAGUAACGCGUAUCCAACCUGCCUAUAACUAGGGAAUAACCUUGCGAAAGUAAGACUAAUACCCUAUGAUUUCCUUUGAUGACAUCAGAUUAGGAAUAAAGAUUUAUCGGUUAUAGAUGGGGAUGCGUCUGAUUAGCUUGUUGGCGGGGUAACGGCCCACCAAGGCAACGAUCAGUAGGGGUUCUGGGAGGAAGGUCCCCCACAUUAGAACUGAGACACGGUCCAAACUCCUACGGGAGGCGGCAGUGAGGAAUAUUGGUCAAUGGGCGGAAGCCUGAACCAGCCAAGUAGCGUGCAGGAUGACGGCCCUAUGGGUUGUAAACUGCUUUUAUACAGGAAUAAAGUUAGCCACGUGUGGUUAUUUGUAGGUACUGUAUGAAUAAGGACCGGCUAAUUCCGUGCCAGCAGCCGCCGUAA